GGCGAACGGGUGAGUAUACAUCGGACUGACCAGUCGUGGGAUACGUACGAAAGUUACGCUANUACCGAUACGAUCUCUGGAUGAAAGCGGGGACCGCAAGGCUCGCGCGAUUGGAGCGGCCGAUGGCAGAUUAGUAGUUGGUGGGGUAAAAGCUUACCAAGCCUCCGAUCUGUAGCUGGUCUGAGAGGACGAUCAGCCACACUGGGACUGAGACACGGCCCAGACUCCUACGGGAGGCAGCAGUGGGGAAUUUUGGACAAUGGGCGCAAGCCUGAUCCAGCAAUGCCGCGUGCAGGACGAAGGCCUUCGGGUUGUAAACUGCUUUUGUACGGAGCGAAACGGCUUCCACUAAUACUGGGGGCUAAUGACGGUACCGUAAGAAUAACACCGGCUAACUACGUGCCACACCGCGGUAUACUUAGGUGCAGCGUUAAUCGGAAUUACUGGGGCGUAAAGCGUGGCGCCAGGGCGGGUUUAUGUUAAGACAGGAUUGUGGAAAUUCCCCCCGGGGGCUUUAACCCUUGGGGAAACUGGCUUUUUGGUGGACUUGGCUUUGGGUUUGGGAAUUUGGCGGGCCAAAGGGGGGGAUUGGGAAAUUCC
rnacentral:rRNA from 1 species